AUACUCACUUCAGCAGCACAUAUACUAAAAUUGGAAUGAUACCAAGAUUAUCAUGGCCCCUACUCAGGGAUGACACACAAAUUUGUGAAGCAUUCUAUUUUUUU